CCCCCACUACUAGAAUAUUGAAAAGAAAAACUGUGAAAGGAGUUCAGUGUUUUCAAGUUGAGUGGUGUAAAACAGGUACUGAAGAUCAUCUGCCUGAUGAUUACUUGUAUGUUACUGUGGAACCUGAAAUUCUCUUCUCCACAGCAUAUUCCAGUAUUACAGAGAAAUUUCUCACAGAAGAACUGGAAAAGAAAGAAAGACUUAUAAAGGUAAAACUAGGAAAAAACCCUCAGUGGAAGACAAGGAAGAGAAUGUAGUCUCAGUUGCCUGUGGGGGAGAAGAACCCAGGAUGCGAAGAUAUCCGAAAAGGAGAUCUAAAGAAAAAGAAUCCAAGAACACCACCCACCCAAAAAACCAGAUGGUAAUACCUAAACCAGUGUUGUCUGAGAAAAAGCCACAAUUCAAGUUCACAAGACUUCAGUUGAGGAGAGCAAGUUGUGGCAGAGGUACCACUACAUAUCUGGACAUGGUUACUGCAGCACUGACAGUAUACAGUGGUCAAUCCAAGGGAGUUUCUAAGCAGCAAAUAGAAAACUUUCUGAAAAGUAAUUACAGAGUCUCCUCCAACAUAAUAAGCUUCAAGUCCUCUCUGAAAAAAUCUCUACUACAAGGGAUGAGUAAAGGAGUCUUCCAAAAAAUAUCUGGUCCAAAGACUGGUACCAGUGGAAGUUACUGUCUCUCCCAUCAUUCUGUAUAAUAACUGGUUUACAUGAACAAAAGUUAAAACAUUAUUGUUAUAAAUAAUUGUUAAUACAUUUUAAUCUUUAACAGAAAACAUUUUCAUUAAGACAUUUGCUAAGAAUGUUUUAAAUCUGAAGAAAAAAACAUUGAAUUAUAAUUAAUAUAAGAAAUAAGAUAUUUUUAUCACAUAAAAAGCUAUGUAUAAAUAUUGCUACUUAUUGCAAACUGCAUUAGUAGUUUUAUCAUAAUGAACAUUAAUGUCUAGUUGUGGUAUUUCUCCAACUACAUAUUGCUUCAAAUCAAAUGUUAAUAUAAUAGUCUUAACUCACCACUAUUACUAUGUAACUAAGGAGAUAAUGGUUAUAAUAACAAACAAACCAGUUUAUCAUGAAAACAGUUAAAAUAUUCUAAAUAUGGAAAAAAGUCAGUUUAAUUGUGAGAACAACAUCAGGUUUUAUAAAAUAAUAUAAAAAAUUUAUUUAAAUAAACAAAUGAUGGAAGUGAAAGGACUGGGGUAGGUUGAUGUUUGAUUUAAAUAUCAAUGAAUGAAAAGUUUUAGGUAAUGUUUUAUAAUUUUCACUUAUUAUCUUGAUUACUAGAGAUACGAUAUUUUAUUUCUUGUUUUAUAUGAAGCAUAAAAAGUAUGUGACAGUAUAUUUAUUUUGGGAAUAUUAUGUUUUGAGCUAGAGCUCUUUGUUAAUUUAAUUGAAGAAUUUAUUCUUUAAUUUGUUGCCAUUAUGGAUAGAUUUAUUUACUUUUUUACGUUCCUGCAAUUCUGUCGUUUGACAAACAAUGUUUUUAACAAUCAAGAACAUUUCUAUCUUUACCAAGUUUGU
rnacentral:misc_RNA from 1 species